UGCUGGGCCGAGUCAGUGGUGUUUACAACGAAUUGAUCAUAACCAGCCACAGAUUUCCUCAUUCCUUCUCUCCUCUCAUUGCUUCACUUGACUAGCCUUAA
rnacentral:Y_RNA from 1 species